CUUCUGGGCCUGGUUUUCCAGUGUUCCCGAUAAACCUAAGGACAAGGGUGCAGGGACAUUAAUGAAACUCUUAUCUUCUGGUCCUGAAUCUUCAACCCAACAGAUGUGCUCUGGAAGUUGUGAAAUACUUGGCUUUUUUCCUAGAAGCUUUCUGUGACCAACCCCUCCUUCUGGUAGUUCUGGGUAGGAGAACACCUAGGUCUUGUGUUAGAUGCUCAUUUCUACUGUUUCCCCAAGAAUCAUGAAAGAAGCACAUUUACAGAAACUCCUGUAGUGGAGAGCUGCUUUCUUCCAGCCAACUCUCUCUCCCAAAUGGAAGGGAGGAAUCUUCCAUAUGACCAAACUGAUGAGUAAAAUCUUCAGGAACAGGCACCUCACAACUAAGCUGCUGACUUUGGCACUUGACUCCAGCUCUAACCAACCACAGUAUAAAGACAUGUACCUGAGCUGCUGCGGUGCAGAGUGGCAGAGGAGCCAUUCACAAAGCUCCAGCCCAGCAGGUGCAGGGAGAAACAGUUUGCACCUUCAUGCAUGAUCAAGGACUACUGCUCUCUGUGAUGGCUCUUCUCUCUAACCCAACAAAAUCACACCACACUUCCCUUCUCCCCACACUUUAAAACUCUCUUGAACUCAUAAUCAUCCCCAAAGAAGCUCCAGAGCUGCCCAUAAAUCUUCCUGGAGGAUGUACAAUAAAAGACUUGUCU
rnacentral:lncRNA from 1 species